GACGAACGCUGGCGGCGUGCUUAACACAUGCAAGUCGAACGGAAAGGCCCCUUUGGGGGUACUCGAGUGGCGAACGGGUGAGUAACACGUGAGUAACCUGCCCUUGACUUCGGGAUAACUUCAGGAAACUGGGGCUAAUACCGGAUAGGAAUCCUUGCUGCAUGGUGGGGGUUGGAAAGCUUCGGCGGUUUUGGAUGGACUCGCGGCUUAUCAGCUUGUUGGUGGGGUAGUGGCUUACCAAGGCUUUGACGGGUAGCCGGCCUGAGAGGGCGACCGGCCACAUUGGGACUGAGACACGGCCCAGACUCCUACGGGAGGCAGCAGUGGGGAAUAUUGCACAAUGGGCGGAAGCCUGAUGCAGCAACGCCGCGGGCGGGAUGACGGCCUUCGGGUUGGAAACCGAUUUCAGCAGGGGCGAAGCUUGUGGUGACGGUACCUGCAGAAGAAGCACCGGCUAACUACGUG
rnacentral:rRNA from 1 species